rnacentral:piRNA from 1 species
UUAGUCUGGAGGCAUGCCUGUUUACCUGGU